rnacentral:rRNA from 1 species
UACGAAGGGGGCUAGCGUUGCUCGGAAUCACUGGGCGUAAAGCGCACGUAGGCGGCUUCUUAAGUCAGGGGUGAAAUCCUGGAGCUCAACUCCAGAACUGCCUUUGAUACUGAGAAGCUUGAGUCCGGGAGAGGUGAGUGGAACUGCGAGUGUAGAGGUGAAAUUCGUAGAUAUUCGCAAGGACACCAGUGGCGAAGGCGGCUCACUGGCCCGGUACUGACGCUGAGGUGCGAAAGCGUGGGGAGCAAACAGG